rnacentral:sRNA from 1 species
AAAUAAACGGGAUGGAAGCAGCAUCCUCCGAUUUAAGCACUAUUUUUUUUAUUUUUUCGAGUACUUGGUUGUUCCACAGGUUUCAUCGGAGAUAUAGCGAACAGCCCGGCCGGAG